rnacentral:snRNA from 1 species
CUAUAUAUAUAUAUACAAAGAUUGGAACAACACAGAGAAAAUUAGCAUGGCCCCUAUAUAAGGGUCACAUGAAAAUUUGUGAAGGGUUCCAUAUUUUU